rnacentral:rRNA from 1 species
UACGGGGGGGCAAGCGUUGUUCGGAAUUACUGGGCGUAAAGGGCUCGUAGGUGGCCAACUAAGUCUAGACGUGAAAUCCCUCGGCUUAACCGGGGAACUGCGUCUGAUACUGGAUGGCUUGAGUUCGGGAGAGGGAUGCGGAAUUCCAGGUGUAGGCGGUGAAAUGCGCAGAUAUCAAGGAGGAACACCGGUGGGCGAAGGCGGGGUCUCCUGGGC